rnacentral:lncRNA from 1 species
UGAGGCUUUGGAUAUUGUAAAGUGAGGAAUUCUUUUUUUUUUUUUUUUAAUUGUCUUUUUGCCUUUUUUAGGGCCGCUCCUGCGGCAUAUGGACGUCCCCAGGCUAGGGGUCUCAUCAGAGCUGUAGCCGCCGGCCUACACCACAGCCACAGCAACUCGGGAUCCGAGCCACAUCUUCGACCUACACUACAGCUCAUGGCAAUGCCAGAUCCUUAACCCACUGAGCGAGGCCAGGGAUUGAACCCUCAACCUCAUGGUUCCUAGUCAGAUUUGUGAACCGCUGAACCACGAUGGGAACUCCAGGAAUUCUUAUUAAAAGUACAAGAAGGGAAUGGGAUCUGGAGAAAGGAUCAAAGGGACAAAAGGGGUUAUAUUAAGGAUAUCUUUGAGGAAGUGGAUGGUGCUUAGUGUGGUAGAUUAAAAAUGGGCACCAAAGAGUUCCCGUUGUAGCUCAGCAGUAAUGAACCUGACUAGUAUCCAUGAGGACACAGGUUCAAUCCCUGGCUUCUCUCAGUGGGUUAAGGAUCCGGUGUUGCCAGUGAGCUAUGGCGUAGGCCGCAGACAAGGCUCGGAUCCUGCAUUGCUGUGGUUGUGCAUCUGCAGCUCCAAUUCGACCCCUAGCCUGGGAACUUCCAUAUGCAAUGGGUGUGGUCCUAAAAAGACAAAAAAUAAAUAAGUAAAUAAAAUAGGCAUGAAGUCCUUGACACUCCCCCCAACAAGAGAUGGAAACUACUCUUUUUUUUUUUUUUUUUUUUUUUUUUUUUUUUUUUUUUUUUUUUCUGUUUUUGAAGUUCCCAGGGAUCAGAUCUCAGCUGCAGUUGUGACCUAUGCCACAGACACAGCAACGCUGGAUCUCUUAACCCACCACGCUGGGCUGGGGAUGGAACCUACAUCCUGGCGCUGCAGAGAUGCCGCCAAGCUCCUGGCGCCACAGCGGCAAGUCUGCUUCCUGACUAACAGGGUUGACUGUUUUGCAAGAUGACCCUCUAUUGGAAUUCAUGUGCUGGGGGAAAGACAGCAGAGCUGGAGAGGCAUUGUCAUCAAACGCGUGCUAUAGGUGUGAUUUGCAGCAGUCGACGUUGGCCUUGGUGGCCUGCCUGAGGUGUGCUUGUGGGGCUGCCCCGCUGAAAAGCCCC